rnacentral:rRNA from 1 species
AGAGUUUGAUCCUGGCUCAGGACGAACGCUGGCGGUGCGCCUUAUGCAUGCAAGUCGAGCGAAGCUUUUCAGUAGUUUACUACAGAAAAUGACUGAGCGGCGAACGGGUGAGUAACGCGUGAGCAACCUACCUUAGUUACUGGGAUAGCCCGAGGAAACUCGGAUUAAUACCGGAUAUUCUUAUUUAAUCACAUGAUUUUUUAAGGAAAGGUCAGCCGAACUAAGAUGGGCUCGCGUUCUAUCAGCUAGUUGGUAGGGUAAUGGCCUACCAAGGCUACGACGGAUAGCUGGUCUGAGAGGACGAUCAGCCACACUGGGACUGAGACACGGCCCAGACUCCUACGGGAGGCUGCAGCAGGGAAUAUUGCGCAAUGAGCGAAAGCUUGACGCAGCGACACCGCGUGUGGGAUGACGGAUCUAGGUUUGUAAACCACUUUCAGGAGGGAAGAAAAUGACGGUACCUCCACAAGAAGCCCCGGCCAACUACGUGCCAGCAGCCGCGGUAAUACGUAGGGGGCGAGCGUUGUCCGGAUUUAUUGGGCGUAAAGAGCUCGUAGGCGGUUCAACAAGUCGGUCGUGAAAGUUCAGGGCUCAACCCUGAAAUGUCGAUCGAUACUGUUGUGACUAGGAUACGGUAGAGGUGAGUGGAAUUCCGAGUGUAGCGGUGAAAUGCGUAGAUAUUCGGAGGAACACCAAUUGCGAAGGCAGCUCACUGGGCCGCUAUCGACGCUGAGGAGCGAAAGCUAGGGGAGCAAACAGGAUUAGAUACCCUGGUAGUCCUAGCUGUAAACGAUGGAUACUAGACGUAGGAAUUGGAUUAACGAUUUCUGUGUCGUAGCUAACGCGUUAAGUAUCCCGCCUGGGGAGUACGGUCGCAAGACUAAAACUCAAAGGAAUUGACGGGACCCCGCACAAGCGGCGGAGCAUGCGGCUUAAUUCGAUGAUACCCGUAGAACCUUACCUGGACUUGACAUAUAGGGAAAAGUUAUAGAAAUAUAAUGUGCAUUAGCGCCCUAUACAGGUGGUGCAUGGCUGUCGUCAGCUCGUGUCGUGAGAUGUU